GUGCUCCCAAAGAAUAUUUGGAAACUUUCAUCUUUCCUGUUCUGCUUCCCGGAAUGGCUAGCCUGCUUCACCAAGCGAAGAAAGAAAAAUGUUUUGAGGUUGUUCUCCAGAUGACCCCUUCGGGAGGGAAAGCCUGUGUUUGGGGUCACUUACCCAGUUCCAGCCACACCAUCUACUGUGCACAUACAUGCGCUGCCAUCUGUCUGGCCACUUGGACUCCGGAGAGCUUUUCCGCCUUGCUUGGCCUCCUGCCUGCCCUUCUCCUGUGCAGUUUGGCAUCCACCAGGUUUCUUGGGUCUUCAGCUUCUGUUUAUUACAUGCACUGAUUAAAGC
rnacentral:sRNA from 1 species